GAUUGAACGCUGGCGGCAGGCCUAACCCAUGCAAGUCGAGCGGAUGAAGGGAGCUUGCUCCUGGAUUCAGCGGCGGACGGGUGAGUAAUGCCUAGGAAUCUGCCUGGUAGUGGGGGAUAACGUCCGGAAACGGGCGCUAAUACCGCAUACGUCCUGAGGGAGAAAGUGGGGGAUCUUCGGACCUCACGCUAUCAGAUGAGCCUAGGUCGGAUUAGCUAGUUGGUGGGGUAAAGGCCUACCAAGGCGACGAUCCGUAACUGGUCUGAGAGGAUGAUCAGUCACACUGGAACUGAGACACGGUCCAGACUCCUACGGGAGGCAGCAGUGGGGAAUAUUGGACAAUGGGCGAAAGCCUGAUCCAGCCAUGCCGCGUGUGUGAAGAAGGUAUUCGGAUUGUAAAGCACUUUAAGUUGGGAGGAAGGGCAGUAAGUUAAUACCUUGCUGUUUUGACGUUACCAACAGAAUAAGCACCGGCUAACUUCGUG
rnacentral:rRNA from 1 species